rnacentral:rRNA from 1 species
GUGGGGAAUAUUGGACAAUGGGCGCAAGCCUGAUCCAGUCAUGUCGCGUGAGUGAUGAAGGCCCUAGGGUUGUAAAGCUCUUUCACCGGUGAAGAUAAUGACGGUAACCGGAGAAGAAGCCCCGGCUAACUUCGUGCCAGCAGCCGCGGUAAUACGAAGGGGGCUAGCGUUGUUCGGAAUUACUGGGCGUAAAGCGCACGUAGGCGGGUAUUUAAGUCAGGGGUGAAAUCCCGGAGCUCAACUCCGGAACUGCCUUUGAUACUGGGUACCUAGAGUAUGGAAGAGGUAAGUGGAAUUCCGAGUGUAGAGGUGAAAUUCGUAGAUAUUCGGAGGAACACCAGUGGCGAAGGCGGCUUACUGGUCCAUUACUGACGCUGAGGUGCGAAAGCGUGGGGAGCAAACAGGAUUAGAUACCCCAGUAGUCC